CCUACGGGAGGCAGCAGUGAGGAAUAUUGGUCAAUGGACGAGAGUCUGAACCAGCCAAGUAGCGUGAAGGAUGACUGCCCUAUGGGUUGUAAACUUCUUUUAUAUGGGAAUAAAAUGUUCCACGUGUGGGAUUUUGUAUGUACCAUAUGAAUAAGGAUCGGCUAACUCCGUGCCAGCAGCCGCGGUAAUACGGAGGAUCCGAGCGUUAUCCGGAUUUAUUGGGUUUAAAGGGAGCGUAGGUGGAUUGUUAAGUCAGUUGUGAAAGUUUGCGGCUCAACCGUAAAAUUGCAGUUGAAACUGGCAGUCUUGAGUACAGUAGAGGUGGGCGGAAUUCGUGGUGUAGCGGUGAAAUGCUUAGAAAUCACGAAGAACUCCGAUUGCGAAGGCAGUUCACUGGACUGCAACUGACACUGAGGCUCGAAAGUGUGGGUAUCAAACAGGAUUAGAUACCCAUGUAGUC
rnacentral:rRNA from 1 species